ACAACCCCUGUUUUUGGUCCCA
rnacentral:snRNA from 1 species